AUAUGGGAAAUUUGAUAAUUUAUGCUAAAAAAUUAGAUAGGGUGUUUAAUUAUACCCAAUUAUUACACAUAAAAAAACUAUACCUAUCUUUUAAUUAUCUUCCAAAAAUACCCCUGUCUUUUCAAACUUCUCACAUUCCCUCUAACUCUAUUCUCUCUCUUCUACAUUCUCUCUCUUCAUUCCCUCUCCCCACCGACGCUGCAAACAACAACCACACCAGACGACCAAACAACCAAAAUCGCAGUCGACCACCAAACAACCACCAGACGACCAGGAACCCACAAACCCACAAACCCACGAACCCACGACGACGACGACGAACCCACGGGCACGAACCGAACCCUUGAACCCAGACGAACCCUCGAACCCACUCCAAUCGACCCCAUCGACGGACGCCCGAGCGAACAAGGAGACCCAGUCGAAUCCCACGAACAUAGCAAUCCAGAAAUUUCCAAGUGUUACCCACACGACCCACACGAGACCCACUCCGAGGAGAAAUCGUCCCAAGCACAAUCCACGAACCAGGUAUGGGCUAAACUUAACUUUUUUUUUGCAAUUUAUCAUAUACAUUGUGCAUCUGUGAUAUAACUGAAAUGUAUUUGUUUAAAUUUAUCAAUUUUAGAGUUUGGGGAAGAAACUGAGUUUAGGGAGAUAGAUUUUGGGGUUUUUUUUAUUUUGUGCGAUUUCUGUGCGAUUAUGUGCGAUUUCAAAGCGACAUGUAGGAAGAACUUUUAUCAAUUCUGGAAAAAAUUGAAAAAUAGCGACGUUUCACGAUUAAGUUAGCGACAUAUAGCGACAUUAAUGUAACUUUUAUUUAUUCAGUGAAAAGUCGAUAUUUAGCGACGUUUAACGAUUACAUUUGCGACUCAAAGCGAAGUGUAGCCUUGCAAUAUUUGCAUAGAGAUCCAGGCUUCACCUGUUUACCAUUUAGAUAACCUAACUUGCAGCGACGGCAGCCUUCGGGGAACCCUGGUGGUGGAGCCGGCCAUACACCUGUUUUGUUAAAUUUUUUUUCAAGUUUUAGAAACCUCCACUCGUUCAUAAGCCGUUCAUUUUCAAAACGUUUCAUGUCGUCAAGCACUUUUUGCAUUUGAGGCGUAAUUUCCCCACAAUCAGGCUCCUGCUUGAUCUCUUCAGGAGUAAGAAUCGGAUAUUUGCCCUUGUUCCUUCUAGUAGACAUUGCUAAGAGAAUUAUCUUAAGAGGAAAAAAAUUAAGAAAAUAUGUGUAACUUAUGAGAUAGACAAUUGGCUUUUAUAGAGAAAACUAGUGGUUGGGAAGGUGGGAUAAUAAAUGUAAAAAUUGAAUUACACAAUUGUACACAUG